AGCUUUGCACAGUGGCAAUAUUGUAGCCAAGGUUUAUCUGAGGCACGAUUAUUGCUAAUUGAAAACUUUUGACAAGUAUCGUCUUCAGCGAAGGGAAGGACAAC